ACUCCUACGGGAGGCAGCAGUGGGGAAUAUUGCACAAUGGGGGAAACCCUGAUGCAGCCAUGCCGCGUGUGUGAAGAAGGCCUUCGGGUUGUAAAGCACUUUCAGUAGGGAGGAAGGUAGUGUAGUUAACACCUAGCACUAUUUGACGUUACCUACAGAAGAAGCACCGGCUAACUCCGUGCCAGCAGCCGCGGUAAUACGGAGGGUGCGAGCGUUAAUCGGAAUUACUGGGCGUAAAGCGCAUGCAGGCGGCCUGUUAAGUCAGAUGUGAAAGCCCGGGGCUUAACCUCGGAAUUGCAUUUGAAACUGGCAGGCUAGAGUCUUGUAGAGGGGGGUAGAAUUUCAGGUGUAGCGGUGAAAUGCGUAGAGAUCUGAAGGAAUACCAGUGGCGAAGGCGGCCCCCUGGACAAAGACUGACGCUCAGAUGCGAAAGCGUGGGGAGCAAACAGGAUUAGAUACCCUGGU
rnacentral:rRNA from 1 species